UUGCCUGCUGGUAUGGAUGUGAAGCAGUUCACGACUACUCAGGGUGGUGAUGGCUUCGAUACAUUCAGUUCGAAACUGGAAGGGCAGA
rnacentral:tRNA from 1 species